CGUACUGAGAGUCGUUUCAGAACCUGGCUCCCAGCUCGGGAGUGCAGACUCUGCCCCCUUCUUCUCGCCGCUCAAGCACAUCUGAGUGAGACAACGAACUUCCGCUCUUUUCCCAGAGCCGCCAGCUCGGUGCAGGGUCUUGUUUAAAAGGAAAGAAAAGAAAAGAAAUGACAAAGAUCUCACUGGCCUUUAGAAGAUCAUAACCAAAAAUAAUCAAAACCACUUGCCUCGGAUCAGUGCUUUGCAGUUUACAUUCUUUGGCUAAAUAAGACAUGCAAAUAAACAGUGAACACGUUCGGUAGAAGAGCUACAGACGAGUGCCCAUGGACUCCUGGCCACUGAAAGCUUCAGACUCUGUUUACCCGUGCGUCCAUCCACUGCUUAGUCGCGGAGUCGCCCCGCUUGCUGACGGCGUCCAGCCUGGGCAGGACCCCACGUCUCAGGAGGACCCAAGGCAAGCCGCAGCCCGUCCCCAGAAAGCCCCUUCUGAUCAGUUCUCACUAGAACGUCGCCGGCUGCACUGAGGGAGGCCCCCACGGGCGCAGGAACAGGUGCACUCCCGGCGGUCUUUGGCUGGACAGUAGUGACGGUCGCGGGGUUCCGGCCCCGCAGUCCCCACCCGGCCUGGGACCAGCGCCUUCCCAUGAAGAGUCUAUCCCCAGGCCAGCCCAGCAACCUGCCAGGACAUCAGGGAAGGAAAGCCGAGGAGAAGACACUCCUUGCGUCCUGCCCGUGUCUCUCUGCCCAGACAAAGCACAUCAGGACAGAUCAAAGAGAAGGAAGAGAAGCACACACGGGGGAGAUUAUACUCUGAAGCUGCGGGAACAGCCACACGUACGGAGUUCUGGAGCUGGGAUGUGUCACCUUCCCCGUAUGUGGAUGUGGUCCCCGAUGUGGAAGCUCUCCGAGCCCCCGACUUAUUUUUUUUAAAUGAAAGCUUCAUCAUGUGGGCAUCACGUGUCAUUAACUCUGUUGGCAGACUCUCCCUUCUCCAGAGAAUGCUGGUGGAGCUGAAGUUUCGAGGUUCUAAUCAUGGCUGUCUCUGUUUUAAAAGGAGCCCACCCAGGAUCACCUCAUAAAAAUAACAGGUGCAUCCAUCCCAGGAAAGUACAAGAGUUUAGGAUCCCCAGGUCAGACACUGGGGUCAAGCACCCAC